UACGGAGGAUGCAAGCGUUAUCCGGAAUGAUUGGGCAUAAAGCGUCCGCAGGUGGCUAUGUAAGUCUGCUGUUAAAGAGUGAGGCUCAACCUCAUAAGAGCAGUGGAAACUACAUGGCUAGAGUGCGUUCGGGGCAGAGGGAAUUCCUGGUGUAGCGGUGAAAUGCGUAGAGAUCAGGAAGAACACUGGUGGCGAAAGCGCUCUGCUAGGCCGCAACUGACACUCAUGGACGAAAGCUAGGGGAGCGAAUGGG
rnacentral:rRNA from 1 species